rnacentral:rRNA from 1 species
GACGAACGCUGGCGGCGGGCUUAACACAUGCAAGUCGAACGGAAAGGCCCUGCUUUUGUGGGGUGCUCGAGUGGCGAACGUGUGUGAAACACGUGAGUCACCUGCCCUUGACUUUGGGAUAACUUCAGGAAACUGGGGAUAAUACCGGAUAGUCGCUCCACCUCCAUGGGGGGUGAUGGAAAGUUUGGGCGGUUGGGGAUGGACUCGCGGCCUGUCAGCUGGUUGGUGGGGAAGUGGCUUACCAAGGCUUUGACGGGUAGCCGGCCUGAGAGGGUGACCGGCCACAUUGGGACUGAGAUACGGCCCAGAGUCCUACGGGAGGCAGCAGUGGGGGAGAUUGCACGAUGGGCGGAAGCCGGAUGCAGCAACGCCGCGUGCGGGAUGACGGCCUUCUGGUUGUAGACCACUUUCGCCUGUGACGGAGCGUGAGUGACGGUAAUGGGUAAAGAAGCACCGGCUAACUACGUG